rnacentral:rRNA from 1 species
GAGGGGUUAAUUUAAUAAAUAAUAAAUAUGAAAAAAAAUUUUAAUAUAAUAUAUUUAAUGGGGGUUAAAGUAUUUUUAUAGAAAAAAUUUUAAAAUUUAUAGUGAAAUAGUAUUGUGAAAGAAAAAUUGAAAAUAUUGAAAUAAAAAUUUAUUUAAAAGUAAAUUUUAUUUAUUGUAUCUUGUGUAUCAGAGUUUUUUUAAAAAAAAAAUUGGGUAAAUUUAUUUCGAAAUUUAAAGAGUUAAUUAAUUAAAAAAGUUAAUAUUGCAUAAUUAUUUUUAAUAAUUAAUUGGAAAUGAAAAGUUAAUCGUUUUUAAUGAUAUCUAAUUUUUUUAGAAAAAAGUUUAAUUUUAAAUAAAUUUUAAAAAUAAUUAAUUAAUUAAUUAUUUUUAAAAUUUAAUUUUAUAUUUUAGGGGAUAAGCUUUAAAUUAGAUUUUUAUAAUAAAAGUAAAAAAAAUUGAAAUUUUUAAAAUUUAUAUUUUUUAUAAAUUAUAGUUUAUUAUCAAUAAUUUCAUUUAAUUAAAAUUUUAUUUUAAUUUAAAUUUUUAUAAAAAAAUAUUUUUUAAUUUAAUAAAAAUAGGUAUAAUGAUAAAAUUAGUAUAUAAUUUAUAAAUAAAAUAAAAAUUAUUUAAAUUAAUAAAAAGGAAUUCGGCAAAAAUUUAUAUUCACUUGUUUAUCAAAAACAUGUCUUUUUGAAAAUAAUUUAAAGUCUAAUCUGCCCACUGAAUUAUUUUAAAGGGCUGCAGUAUAUUGACUGUACAAAGGUAGCAUAAUCAUUAGUCUUUUAAUUGAAGACUUGUAUGAAUGAUUUGAUGAAAUAUAAACUGUCUCUUUAUUAAAAAUAGAAUUUAAUUUUUUAGUUAAAAAGCUAAAAUUUAUUUAAAAGACGAGAAGACCCUAUAGAGUUUUAUAUUUAAAAUUAUAUUAAUUUUGUAUAAAAUUUUUAUUUAAUAUUUUUUUAAUUAUUUUAUUGGGGUGAUAGAAAAAUUUAAUAAACUUUUUUUAAAAAUUUUACAUUAAUAUAUGAAAUUUUGAUCCAUAAUUUAUGAUUAAAAGAUUAAAUUACCUUAGGGAUAACAGCGUAAUUUUUUUUUUUAGUUCUUAUAAGAAAAAAAGUUUGCGACCUCGAUGUUGGAUUAAGAUAAAAUUUAGAUGCAAAAGUUUAAAAUUUUGAUCUGUUCGAUCAUUAAAAUCUUACAUGAUCUGAGUUCAAACCGGUGUGAGCCAGGUUGGUUUCUAUCUUUAUAAAAAUUUAAUAAUUUAGUACGAAAGGAUCAAUUAUUGAAAAUAAUUUUUUAAUAAGGAAUAUUAUUAAUUUUUU